rnacentral:rRNA from 1 species
AGAGUUAAAAAGUACGUGAAAUUGUUAAAAGGGAAACGUUUGACACCAGUAUUUGGGAGUUGAAAAUCAACCUUUUAGAAAUAAAGGGUGCACUUUUUGACUUCCAGGUCAACAUCAAUUUUGUCUCUCGUAAAAAAGUCAAAGGAAGGUAGGUGCUUGCACUGUUAUAGCCUUGACCGAUGCGAGGGAUGGGAUUGAGGACUGCGGUACAUGCCAUUGGCUGGGUUCGCGGCAGCCGUGUGAGACCGGUUUAUAAACAGCUUGCUGAUUAUGAGUCGCGUUUUAUACGCCCUGUUGUAUAACCACAAAUGUACCUAGGAUGUUGACGAAAUGGUUUUAAACGACC